AACGAACGCUGGCGGCGUGGAUAAGACAUGCAAGUCGAACGGGACUAAAUCUGUAGCAAUACAGGUUUAGUUUAGUGGCGAACGGGUGCGUAACACGUGGGCAAUCUGCCGAGAAGUGGGGGAUAGCUCGCCGAAAGGCGAAUUAAUACCGCAUAUGAUCAGCUAAGACAUCUUAGCGACAUCAAAGCCGGGGCAACCUGGCGCUACUCGAUGAGCCCGCGGCCUAUCAGCUAGUUGGUGAGGUAACGGCUCACCAAGGCUAUGACGGGUAGCUGGUCUGAGAGGACGACCAGUCACACUGGAACUGAGACACGGUCCAGACACCUACGGGUGGCAGCAGUCGAGUAAUUUUUCUCAAUGGGGCAACCCUGAAGGAGCGACGCCGCGUGGAGGAUGAAGG
rnacentral:rRNA from 1 species